CCGGAUGAGUGUGAGGGGAGUUUUUAGAAGUUGAAGGAUAAGUUGACUUUGUCUUCAGUUCUGAUUUUGUCGGAGACAAUGAUGGGUUUAUGGUUUAUUGUGAUUCAUCUCAAAUUGGUCUUAGUUAUGUAUUGAUGCAACAUGGGUAGGUGAUAGACUAUGCUUGGAGGCAGUUGAAAGUGCUGACAAAAACUAUGCUACUCAUGAUUUAGAGUUGUUGGCUGCUG
rnacentral:lncRNA from 1 species